GAGCAGCCCUGAGCUGGAGAGACUCUGAACUGGAGCAGCCCUGAGCUGGAGCAGCCCUAUGCUGGAGGGACCCUGAGCUGGAGCAGCCCUGUGCUGGAGGGACCCUGAGCUGGAGCAGCCCUGUGCUGGAGGGACCCUGAGCUGGAGCAGCCCUGUGCUGGAGGGACCCUGAGCUGGAGCAGCCCUGUGCUGGAGGGACCCUGAGCUGGAGCAGCCCUGUGCUGGAGGGACCCUGAGCUGGAGCAGCCCUGUGCUGGAGGGACCCUGAGCUGGAGCAGCCCUGUGCUGGAGGGACCCUGAGCUGGAGCAGCCCUGUGCUGGAGGGACCCUGAGCUGGAGCAGCCCUGUGCUGGGACCCUGAGCUGGAGCAGCCCUGAGCUGGAGAGACUCUGAAUUGGAGCAGCCCUGAGCUGGAGAGACUCUGAGCUGGAACAGCCCUAUGCUGGAGGGACCCUGAGCUGGAGCAGCCCUGUGCUGGAGGGACCCUGAGCUGGAGCAGCCCUGUGCUGGAGGGACCCUGAGCUGGAGCAGCCCUGUGCUGGAGGGACCCUGAGCUGGAGCAGCCUUGUGCUGGAGAGACCCCGAGCUGGAACAGCCCCGAGCUGGAACAGUCCCGAGCUGCCUCUCUUGUUAGGAGUGAGCUGGUUUAUCUGUGGGUCACGGAGGUGUACUGAGCUCCAUCUGCAGAUCAGUUAAUCGCUAACAAAUGUGGGCGAGUUUUCACCCAGCACAGACCACAGGCCGUGUCUCAGACGCUUUGCCAAGCCAUUUUGGAGCUGUAAGCAACUGGCCUGCUUCCAAGCUGAAUCUGUUCUGGCACACAGAGGCCAUGAGCCUGUGAAGCUCUGACUCUGGCACUGGGAUUGGGUUCGUGAGGAAUCAUGAGCCAUGAGAUGGCCUCCAGUCGGUCAGCAGGGCAGGAAGGGACUAGGACUCAGGAUUAGGGGCCGAGUCAUCACUGACCUUCACAGCGACCUCUGCACUGGCAGAGGUGGGAAGUGGGGUUUUCAGAACGCCUGCUUCGGUUGCUGGGCACUCUGCUUGGUUAGAGAGAUGGUGGUAAGUUUGUCUGCCUCCAUUUCCAAGUGGGCCGUCACAGGCAUAACGGGGUUGGAGAUACCAACAGACCAAAGAAGAAAAGCAACAGCUCGGUUAUCACUAAGCCUUUCCAUGGCUCACUGAUGAGGACGUGAGAAGUUGGUAACCCACACCCCACAGUGACAGGGACUCCCUUUCAGACACUGCCAUGAGUUGUCACGACAGCAGCAGUGGUGACUGUGACACCGUGUCGUCACUUCCUGGUGUCCCACACGCUGGCUGCCCUCACUCCCCUUCCCCUGCCUGCUCGUGGGAUGCAGCGGAUCAGGUGGGCAGGUGGUAGGAGUCAGUUCAAGAGGGUGAACACGACCCUGGAGCUGGAGGGGCAGGAACAAUAUCCUGGGGCAGGCGUGGCCGAGUGUCCCUUAGCUGAGGGACAGUUUCCUGUUUCCUGUCCUUUACGGUGAGCUCCUCCCGGGCAGUGGAAGCAGAUGAGCAUCUGCUGAGGUGUGAGAAGACGCUCUGGAAGAUGAGAGGACAAGAUGGAUGAGGAUGAGACUAAUAGCUUCCAGGUGUGGCCUGGCUUCUGGGGUCUCCAUGUUCAUAUUGGGGCAUUAAUAAGCUUCUGCAUCGAGAGUGGUCUAGCUCAGCAUAGUCCAGACUGUAGUCCACAGAUGUGAGAGGCACCGAGACAAGAGGCCUUCAGCUCCAGUUAUAAGACUGUGCUUUGUUACGAGCAGAGCAGACGCUGUCUGUGGGGACCCUAGUUCUGGACUCUCAUCAGGACGUUGGCAUCAGUGAACGCAUCUCAGACCUUUACUGAGGUAGUCACCGUUUUAAUCUGUCGGUCGUGAUUACAGUUGACAGACUCAAAAUAAAAAUUAAGAAAGUA
rnacentral:lncRNA from 1 species